rnacentral:rRNA from 1 species
UACGUAGGGUGCGAGCGUUAAUCGGAAUUACUGGGCGUAAAGUGUGCGCAGGCGGCCGAGCAAGUCGAGUGUGAAAGCCCCGAGCUUAACUUGAGAACUGCGCUCGAAACUACUUGGCUAGAGUGUGGCAGAGGGAGGUGGAAUUCCACGUGUAGCGGUGAAAUGCGUAGAGAUGUGGAGGAACACCGAUGGCGAAGGCAGCCUCCUGGGCCAACACUGACGCUCAUGCACGAAAGCGUGGGGAGCGAACAGG